rnacentral:lncRNA from 1 species
GGCAGUGAAGGGCAGUCACCGGCAUCCAGGAGAAGAAACCAAAGCAGAAGAGUGAAGAAGAUGAGGGGGACAGAGCAGUGACUGGAGCAGAAACAGGAUACGGGGAGAGAGAGAAAACAUAAGAAGCUUAGGAGGAAAAAACAUAAAAGUUAAAUAGCACAACGUUGGCUGUCCCAAACCAUUUGGGCUUAGAGCCAGCAGCCAACUCUCAGCUCUUUUAUUUGAAUAACAGACACGGGCUACAUGACUCCUAUUUCUCUCCCUUCAACUUUUUAGUGUCUUUCCCAAGGGUGCAGCAAUCACAGCCUCCUGUUACGGAUUAUUCAGCACUGUGGAAAUCAGGAGCUCUCCCUCUUCCCCUUAGGGCAAUUUUGUUUUUCACACUCAAAUGGUAUUCCCUGAGCCAGUCAAAUCCUUGACACAGUACUGACUAUCCAUCACCAACCAAUGAGAUACUGUUGUGUUUUCUUUAAUCCCUUUCAUCUGUCCCUUAAUGCAGCCAUUCAUGGGCUGGAGAAAACGUCUGCUUAACAAAGAAGAAUCCCAGGCUGGCCCAGACAAGAUCCCCUCCUAACCCAAAGCACCCACUGUCUGCAGCUGGGAGCAGAUCUGGGGCUGAAGGAGUAGAGCAGAUGCCAAGCAAGCCCUUCCUUUAAUACACACUUUCAGCAAAGAACUGCUCAGGGACUUCUCAAGCUGUAUCUUACAUCCAGGCUGUUGUGUUUAAUAAGUGCCAAUGGACAUAAGAGCCAAUUAUUCCUCUUCAAACUUGCUUAUGUUUUUCGGUCUUCACAGCACCCUGGGGCAAUGAUGCGCAGAAUGUGCGUUAGAAAUGAAUUGCUUCCCCUUUGUUUGGCUUAAAACUGCUGCCAGAUCACUGACACUGGUGCAUCAUUGUCCCCAUGUGGCCACAAGCACCAACUAUUUAUUUGGCAGUUAUAACUCAAGACUUGGGUCUGCAGAGUCGCACCCUUCUCCACUCGACUGCUUGCCAACUGCUGUUGGAUAAAGCGUGGAUGGGAGAGGGGACGCAGCGCAACUACUGAUCCCAGAAAGGAGGAUCUCCAAACCUUCCUCUGGUCAUAGAAUCAUUAAAGUUGGAAAAGACCUCCAAGAUCCCCAAGUCCAACCCAACCCACCCCACUGACCACGUCCUUCAG